AAUUCCAUCUAAAGCUAAAUAUUGNCGAGAGACCGAUAGCGAACAAGUACAGUGAUGGAAAGAUGAAAAGAACUUUGAAAAGAGAGUGAAAAAGUACGUGAAAUUGUUGAAAGGGAAGGGCUUGAGAUCAGACUUGGUAUUUUGCGAUCCUUUCCNUCUUGGUUGGGUUCCUCGCAGCUUACUGGGCCAGCAUCGGUUUGGAUGGUAGGAUAAUGACUAAGGAAUGUGGCUCUACUUCGGUGGAGUGUUAUAGCCUUNGUUGAUACUGCCNGUCUAGACCGAGGACUGCGUCUUUUGACUAGGAUGUUGGCAUAAUGA
rnacentral:rRNA from 1 species